GUGCUAUUCUCGAAGAAGAAGAAAGAGUACACAUGGAAGAAAAACGCGCUCUGAAAUUAAAAUGGCGUUUUUUAAGGGAUGUGAGCAAUCCUUUUUCUACCCCUGAAAAUGAAUUUCGGCAAAUGUACAGGUACUUGCAGCCCUUAAUUUCUUUGCAAGUGGUUCAUACCAAAAGCGAGUUGGAAAAAGUGACGAUACAUCGAUGAGUCAAGCGUCAGUCAGUGGUGCGAUUCGUCGUACUGCUAAUGCAUUACAACGCCUUAUGAAUCGAUGGGUGCAAUUUCCAAUUUCAGAGGAAAGCAAGCAACAAAUUAAAGAAAAAUUUUGAGCAACAUAUCAAUUCCCUGGCGUUAUCGGAGUUAUUGAUGGGACGCA